CAUGCUACUUUUUAGAGUGUAAAAGUGAGUUUUUUAGGAGACAAAUAUUGAUGGCCUAACUCAUGUCAAGAUUAAAAACAGACCAUUAUAGAUUAUAACAAUAACCCAGUGUUACAUAAAUGAGUCAAUUUGUAUUUAACAUCUGUGCUGCUUUCUCAGCUUUGUCCAGAUCAGGUUUCGUAGAAAACAGAUGAAGACUUGGGGCCAGAUCCUCAGCUGUUGAAAAUCAGCAUAGUUCUUUUGACUUCAUUGGAGCUACACUGGUUUAUAUUGCCUGAAAAUCUGCCCCUUAAACUGCAUUGUGUCAGUUCUUCAAAUGUCAGUUGAUCUGCACAGGAGGGAAAAAGUAUUUUUGUCAGUUUACCCGGGCACUUUGGAGGAAAUCAAAGAGGAAAAAUCGCAGUUAAGCAAGACACAUUGGAUCAUAUUAAUAUUCACUCAUGGCACAAUUUGAGACUGGGCUCUUUAGGCUUCCCAAGACAUCGACUUCUCAGCUGUUACUACCAGAGGCUAGGUAUUGGAUGGAAAUGAUGAUAGACAAGUUUGCAUUGCUGACUCAGAGAGGUGCUAUCUAGGCAUACGCCGGUCAUCAGUGUCCAUGCCCUCUUCAGUUCUUGCUACCGUCUGAGACUACUGACAGGUUCACCAACUGGUAUGGUAAAUAUGGAAUAUAGACACU